AGGUUACUUCAAAGAGGGCUCGUGAGGCUACAAAACCAAGAGCUCAGCCAGGCGCGGUGGCUCAAGCCUGUAAUCCCAGCACUUUGGGAGGCCGA
rnacentral:snoRNA from 1 species